GGAAUCUUGCGCAAUGGGCGAAAGCCUGACGCAGCAACGCCGCGUGGGGGAUGAAGGCUUUCGGGUUGUAAACCCCUUUCAGCAGGGACGAUUAUGACUGUACCUGCAGAAGAAGGACCGGCCAACUACGUGCCAGCAGCCGCGGUAAUACGUAGGGUCCAAGCGUUGUCCGGAUUUAUUGGGCGUAAAGAGCUCGUAGGUGGUUCGCUAAGUCGGAUGUGAAAACUCGGGGCUCAACCCCGAGACGCCAUCCGAUAAUGGCGUGACUUGAGUCUGGUAGGGGAGAUCGGAAUUCCUGGUGUAGCGGUGAAAUGCGCAGAUAUCAGGAGGAACACCGGUGGCGAAGGCGGAUCUCUGGGCCAGUACUGACACUGAGGAGCGAAAGCGUGGGUAGC
rnacentral:rRNA from 1 species